GGUCGUCUGGAGAUGGACUUCAUGUGCAAGCGCUUUGCCUUAAUGAGUACUGCAGCAAAUGCACAGUGAGGGACUCUUACCCAAGAAACCUAGAAUGAAAUCUGUGCUGCCUGCUACAACCUGUGGCUUUGGAUUUUCUCGAGGCCCCAGAGCGUCAGGUAAUAUUUUCCGAAUGGCACUCUGCGUGGGAAGGAGCUUGUGCACGUGCACGCUGCCACCAUCUGCCCUCAGCGCUGAUUCAGGAGGCGCUUCUCAACUAUAGCCCACAGUGUGACAACUGAACGUGUCCCCUCACGUUUCCAAAUACGGGGGGUGCAGGAGGCACUGCUCACUGUUGCACCCCCUGACCCACGCUGCCAGUCCUGCCCUCACUGCUGGGUGCUCACUGGGACCCUGGAAAGGUCUAGCUGAGCCUUUUAGGGCAUGAGGAUGUUGGGAGAAUAGAGGUGGCUCCUCUGAGAAGCCUGAGAAGUGAUCAGGCCAACCUUAGAAUCUCUGACUACUAGAGGCUUGACUUGCAGUGAAACCCGUCCUAAUUGAUGAAGAUCCUGUAUCGAGUUAGAGAAAUGGAAGAAACGACGCGGGGGUCUGGUUUGCCAGCCAACAGCUGUGGCUUAAAUCUGAGUCCUUUGGAAAGAAAGGAAGGCAUUCCUUUUAUUUCUAAUAUGGCUAAGGUGGAAGUUCUUCAUCUCUGUGUGCAUGCAGCUUAGUUCCUGCUCCUUCAGCCAAGCUAACGCGG
rnacentral:lncRNA from 1 species